rnacentral:rRNA from 1 species
GUGGCGAACGGGUGAGUAACACGUGAGCAACCUACCCUAGACUCUGGAAUAACCAUGGGAAACGAUGGCUAAUACCGGAUACGAGACGUGCACGCAUGUGUGGCGUCUGGAAAGAUUUAUCGGUCUGGGAUGGGCUCGCGGCCUAUCAGCUUGUUGGUGGGGUAGUGGCCUACCAAGGCGACGACGGGUAGCCGGCCUGAGAGGGCGACCGGCCACACUGGGACUGAGAUACGGCCCAGACUCCUACGGGAGGCAGCAGUGGGGAAUAUUGCACAAUGGGCGCAAGCCUGAUGCAGCGACGCCGCGUGAGGGAUGACGGCCUUCGGGUUGUAAACCUCUUUCAGCAGGGAAGAAGCGAAAGUGACGGUACCUGCAGAAGAAGCGCCGGCUAACUACGUGCCAGCAGCCGCGGUAAUACGUAGGGCGCAAGCGUUGUCCGGAAUUAUUGGGCGUAAAGAGCUCGUAGGCGGUUUGUCGCGUCUGCUGUGAAAACCUAAGGCUCAACCUUGGGCUUGCAGUGGGUACGGGCAGACUAGAGUGCGGUAGGGGUGACUGGAAUUCCUGGUGUAGCGGUGGAAUGCGCAGAUAUCAGGAGGAACACCGAUGGCGAAGGCAGGUCACUGGGCCGCAACUGACGCUGAGGAGCGAAAGCAUGGGGAGCGAACAGGAUUAGAUACCCUGGUAGUCCAUGCCGUAAACGUUGGGCACUAGGUGUGGGGCUCAUUCCACGAGUUCCGUGCCGCAGCAAACGCAUUAAGUGCCCCGCCUGGGGAGUACGGCCGCAAGGCUAAAACUCAAAGAAAUUGACGGGGGCCCGCACAAGCGGCGGANCAUGCGGAUUAAUUCGAUGCAACGCGAAGAACCUUACCAAGGCUUGACAUA